rnacentral:misc_RNA from 1 species
GAUGAAGAACGCAGCGAAAUGCGAUAAGUAAUGUGAAUUGCAGAAUUCAGUGAAUCAUCGAAUCUUUGAACGCACCUUGCACCCUUUGGCAUUCCGAAGGGUAUGCUCGUUUGAGUGUCAUUGUACUCUCACACUUCCGAUCUUUGGAUUGGGAGCGGUGGACUUGGGUGUUGCUGCUUACUGUGGCUCACCUCAAAUCGAUUCGUGCACCUCUUGGUUGGACAUAGUACGGCGUGAUAAGUGUCUUCGCCAGCACCUCAGUAGAGGGUGGCUGAUCGGGAGCUCUGCUUCAAACCGUCCUCGGACAACAACUGACAACUUGACCUCAAAUCGAGUAGGACUACCCGCUGAACUUAAGCAUAUCAAUAAGCGGAGGA